AGUGAACGCUGGCGGUAGGCCUAACACAUGCAAGUCGAACGGCAGCACAGUAAGAGCUUGCUCUUACGGGUGGCGAGUGGCGGACGGGUGAGGAAUACAUCGGAAUCUACUUUUUCGUGGGGGAUAACGUAGGGAAACUUACGCUAAUACCGCAUACGACCUACGGGGGAAAGCAGGGGAUCUUCGGACCUUGCGCGAUUGAAUGAGCCGAUGUCGGAUUAGCUAGUUGGCGGGGUAAAGGCCCACCAAGGCGACGAUCCGUAGCUGGUCUGAGAGGAUGAUCAGCCGCACUGGAACUGAGACACGGUCCAGACUCCUACGGGAGGCAGCAGUGGGGAAUAUUGGACAAUGGGCGCAAGCCUGAUCCAGCCAUACCGCGUGGGUGAAGAAGGCCUUCGGGUUGUAAAGCCCUUUUGUUGGGAAAGAAAAGCAGCAGGUUAAUACCCCGCUGUUCUGACGGUACCCAAAGAAUAAGCACCGGCUAACUUCGUG
rnacentral:rRNA from 1 species